CAUCACCCCAAAGCAAGGCAGGAGCAAAACUGAGCUUAGGGAGGAAGUGACUGGAGAAGGAAUCACUGCUGAAAGUGUUGCUUCAUGGGUGGGGAUUGGCAUCCUCCAGUUAGAAGGGUCUGCAUCCCAUUUGUGAUGACUCAUGGACUCUCACCAUUUUAUGAAGGAAACGGCAGUACAGUAACAUUCAUUUGCAUGGCCAAAAACAUUGGACAGAAAGACAAAAAAGUCAAAAUAUGGCAGAAUAAUAGAAACCAGAGACCAAGGACAGGAUGGGACGGGUAUAUAAUGCUCUCAGCACACCAAAAGUUGCCUUCUCAGACCAGGUAAAGGAUAGUGAAGAUCCUCUACGCUGGUCCACAAGGCCACACUAAGAAAAGCAAAGAUUAAGAGUCACAAGUAGGAGACAAAAGGCACAAGACACAAGGGAGCAAUAAGAGACACAAAUGGGGGUUAAGACACAAACG